UCCUUCGGGCAAUGGAUACAGGUGGUGCAUGGUUGUCGUCAGCUCGUGCCCGUGAGGUGUUGGGUUAAGUCCCGCCAACGAGCGCAACCCUCAUUGUUAGUUACUACCAUUCAGUUGAGGACUCUAAUGAGACUGCCAACGACAAGUUGGAGGAAGUGGGGAUGACGUCAAAUCAUCAUGCCCUUUAUGACCUGGGCUACAAACGUACUACAAUGGCCAAUACAAAGAGAUGCGAAGCGGUGACGUGGAGCGAACCUCAGAAAGUUGGUCUCAGUUCAGAUUGAAGUCUGCAACUCGACUUCAUGAAGGCGGAAUCGCUAGUAAUCGCGGGUCAGCAGACCGCGGUGAAUACGUUCCCGGGCCUU
rnacentral:rRNA from 1 species